rnacentral:rRNA from 1 species
CAUGAAGCUGGAAUCGCUAGUAAUCGCGGAUCAGAAUGCCGCGGUGAAUACGUUCCCGGGUCUUGUACACACCGCCCGUCACACCAUGGGAGUCGGAAAUGCCCGAAGCCGGUGACCUAACCUUUCAGGAAGGAGCCGUCGAAGGCAGGUCUGAUAACUGGGGUGAAGUCGUAACAAGGUAGC